rnacentral:tRNA from 1 species
UCGGGUGUGGUGUAGUGGUAACAUCCAUGACUCUCAUUCUCUCGCUGGAAAGAGAGGUUCUCAUGAGCCCGGGGUUCAAUUCCCCGCAUCCGAG